rnacentral:lncRNA from 1 species
AGGCGAUCAUCACUGGUGCUCCCCAGGGACUAGUUCUUUCCGCAGUAAUACUGACUUCUAAAUGGCUGCAAAGGGAUUGGCAGAAAAGGUUGUGUUUCGUGGCCGCCAAGGUCCCCAGACUUUACUGCUUUAGAUUUUUGCAUGUGGGGAUAGUUGGAAGGUGAAAAUAAACACAAGAGAUGAGUUGAUCAUUUGGAUUAUAAGUUGUGUUGCCUUCAUAGAAGAAUGCCAAGAUGAAAUCAGAAGAGCUACAAGUGGUGUUGCCAAAAGAAUUUGAGAGUUCAUUCAAGUCAGAGGUGGAGUGUAUGAGAACUUACUUUGAACUUAAUCAUUUGCUUUAGCUUAAGACCUUCUGUGAGUAUGUGUCUGAGUUGCAUUCUAAGAACUGUAUAUCUGUAGCCAAUAAAAAUUAGGCAGAUGUUA